rnacentral:misc_RNA from 1 species
CCACCACGGAUUAAGGCUGAU